GAUGAAGAACGCAGCGAAAUGCGAUACUUGGUGUGAAUUGCAGAAUCCCGUGAACCAUCGAGUCUUUGAACGCAAGUUGCGCCUCAAGCGAUUAGGUUGAGGGCACGUCUGCCUGGGCGUCACAUAUCGUUGCCUGAUGCCAGUUUCCUCGUGAUGGGUGACUGUGCAGGGCGAAUGAUGGCUUCCCGUGAGCAUUGUUGCCUCAUGGUUGGUUGAAAAUUGAGUCCUUGGUAGGGAGCGCCGUGAUAGAUGGUGGUUGAGUGACGAACGAGACCCAAUCAUGUGAGACCCCUACCGAAUUUGGCCUUCAUGACCCACAUGCGUCUUUGGAACGCUCAUGACGAGACCUCAGGUCAGGCGGGGCUACCCGCUGAGUUUAAGCAUAUCAAUAAGCGGAGGA
rnacentral:misc_RNA from 1 species